CCGCACCUGCGCCCGCAGCUUCUGCUUCUCUGAUUCUACGGCCCCCAGGUGGCUCGACAGUGCCAAGAUCACCUGUGCAACCAGCCCAGGGCAGGAAUCCUGUCUAUUUUGUUGGGUCCUGUAUCCACCUAACGGCCUGGCUGGCACUGAAAAACUCAUCUGUUAACGAAUGAAUAGAAGAAUAAAUCGGUGGGAGGUUGUGUUUCCUUAA